GAGGUAAAAGCGAUAGGCAGCAAGCGGACGAAGCGGGGUGGCGCGAAGCGAAAGAGCCUGGGCAACGCCGAUUGAAGAAGCGGCAGCCACACGCACCGGCAACACUACCGCAAACACGCAAGCCAGCCACGACGACCAAUUCUAGUCACGAACGGACGGAACCAAACAGGAGAAGCGGAAAUGACUUACGCGUUACGCGGGACGAAUGGAGGCACAAGAAGGAGAACGCACGACGUACACGUCGGGUCAAAGAAGAGGAUGACAGAGGACGCGGGCGGCAGCGCGGCAAGACGGCUAACGUAACUCCGACAAGCAGACGACGAGGUGGAAGCAACCGAGCGGCGACAGGACCAACACGAUGAACCAAGACCAACCUUCUCGACGAGACGAAGACGUAGACGUGGACAUCGGACGACGACGAUGAGUUCCAAACGAGAGGAAAAGGUGAUGUACACGGAACAAAUACCGAGUUGUACAUAAAUAGAGAACCACGGGACCCGAAUACCGCAGCAGAAGAAGUUGGCUACUCCGACGUAGGACACGACGGCAAAGUCAAGUUCCAUAAAGCAGGAGUAGGCAGAGAAGCUCUUCUUUAUAAUGUUCUCGAAGAUAAAGAAUACCACUUUGUUUUACGGAUCUCUAGGCCUGUGUGAUGGUAAAGGUCUAGUAGAAGAGAUGACUAUCAUCUUGACGUGCUUCCGUGAAACUACUACGUAACCGAUUUCGAAAAGUCGAUCUUACGCUGCUUUAACAAUGAAAACUACGAGGACUGGUCCUUACACCAUAUAAUGUGACUCAUACUCUUAAGUGUCGUGGCAACACUCCGGUGUGGUGGUUACUAGUUUUAGGGAAUGUCCUACUACGACCUACAAGAAAAUCUCUGAAAUCUCGAAGGUCGCCGAUUCAUAGCUUCGUUUCAUACACUACCGCCAUCUCAUACGCAGUGACAAAAAAAGGUAUGCGGGUGUAGUAUACAACUUCUAGUACCGUCAGCAUACCGAUAAAGACCCCACGUCACAUAGUUAGUACGAUACAGUCUCCUGUGCCGACGGUACCUUCUCUGACCUAUGUAGUUUACGUACCAAUUCUGAGUUUCAUUCUCUGAUGUUAAUGUCGUUGUACUUCUCUGACCUACUCCUUUUAGUCAGAGAUUUUGUACUCGACCCACAUCGAUUCAUAUUGUUCGUCUUUUGUUUCGGUUUCUGGUCCAGGUAGUUCUUGUUUGAUUACUACCGAUCCAUAUUCUUGUUCUUUUUACGAUACCCGACCAAGCAAGAAUGUUCUAUGUACGUACCUAAUAGACUAGUAUAUACGUUACAUUAUCGCGAGUUGUCUAGCAGACCCUUUCUUGGGUACCUAGGAGAAUACUUGCUUGGAGAAUUGUUGUAACUCUUCGAUCGUCUUUCCGAGUUUGCGCCCCACGAGUUUAGUCUCUUCGUUGAUUUUUCGUAGUUCUCUCCUAAAAUCUCAACAUAAGAUGUUCUUACGUAGGAUUUGGUCUGGAAAAUCUUAAUAUCAGAUAAAGCGAGGAAAACAAAUUGGCGUAUCCAAUUGG
rnacentral:rRNA from 1 species